CGGCUGUAUCCAACAUUCAUAUGCUUGAGAGCAUUCAUAUGCUUCUCCGGUUCGGUGGUUGUGGUGUCUGCUGCAGUGCUUGGAGUCCUCAGGAAGCGCUAGGAGCAUCCUUCAACAUAGGUACCCGUCGGGGUGCCACGUGAUCCGUUACACGCUUUGUCUCAGUUUCCCUAUUCAUAUACACCUUAUUUGCAACCUCCAUUAGCUGUGAUAUGGAUAUCCCUGCAAAUCCCUCUAAUUUCUGUAGCUUUCUCUUAAUUUCGCUCUGGGCCUGGCUGACAAAUGCUGAGUCUAUCAUUUGGAAGUUUUCAGGGGCUUCAGGAUUGAAAGGAGUGCACAAUCUAUUUGACUUAAGCAGUCUCUCAUAAAAAGCACUGGGUGAUUCAUUAGCUUUUUGUAACACUUCAGCCGUCCUGGACAUGUUAAUUGCCUUUUUCCUUCCUGCCUUCAUGCCAGCAAUAAUGGCUUGUUCAGUGGCGUACACAUGACCCAUGGGGCCCCGGUGCGAAAAUUGAUCCAGGGCCCCCCCUCCCCUACGCUUACUCGGCGCGGAUCGGGGCCGCGACACAUGGCGGCGGGCACCUGGUCGCAGGGGUUGCAGGGCUGCGACCCCGCGACCGCGGUAUGCACACACACUUAAAAGACCACUACAGACACCCAGAUCACAUCAGCUCAAUGAAGUGGUCUGGGUGCCAGGUCCCUCUAGUUUUAACCCUGCAGCUGAAAACAUAGCCGUUUCAGAGAAACGGCUAUGUUUCACUGAGGGUUAAUCCAGUCUCUGGUGGCUGUCUCAUUGACAGCUGCUAGAGCAGCUUCCGCGAUUCUCACUGUGAAAAUCACAGUGAGAAGACACUGAACGUCCAUAGGAAAGCAUUGUGCAUUCGGAGCUGAGAGGCGGACACUGGGGAGUCCGACGCUGGAGAAAGGUAAAUGCUGAAGACACACACACACACACUCAAACGAACAGACGCAUACACACUAGCUAACAGACACACACAUUUACUGACAGAGACACACUCAGCGACAGACAUACAUACACACUCACUUACAAAACACACACUUUCACUGACAAACACACACUCACUAACAGACAAACACACACAGUAACACACUCACUAGCAGACACACACAAUAACAGACACACUCACUGACACACACACACUAACACACACACAUACACUAACACAAACAUUUUUUUUUAAAUGUAAUCCCCCCAGCCUCCUUACCUUUUGGAGUGCUGGGGGGAUUCCCUGGGGUCCAGUGGUGCUGCUGGGCUCCUGGGCGGGUGGCUGGUCGGGCGGGC